CAGCCGCCACGGGAAAACGAGGGGGGCAAGCGUUGUUCGGAAUUAUUGGGCGUAAAGGGUGCGUAGGCGGUUUGGCAAGUUUGGUGUGAAAUCUUCGGGCUCAACUCGAAGUCUGCAUCGAAAACUGCCGGGCUUGAGUAUGGGAGAGGUGAGUGGAAUUUCCGGUGUAGCGGUGAAAUGCGUAGAUAUCGGGAGGAACAUCAGUGGCGAAGGCGGCCAUCUGGGACAACACUGACGCUGAGGCACGAAAGCGUGGGGAGCAAACAGGAUUAGAUACCCCCGUAGUCCCUGUCUCUUAUAC
rnacentral:rRNA from 1 species